AAUAAUAAUAAUAAUAAUAAUUUACCAACACAGAGAAAUAGAUAUAUUUAACGUAGCUCGGUAUUAGUUCGGUUGCUGUGAAAAGGGGUGUUGAGUUUGCAAUGAUGGUUAAUAACAACAAGGAGAAGGAGAGGGACCUUGAGAUUAUGUUUGAUCCGAACGAUGAGGAUGGCAGCCAAUGUGAACAAGAGGAUAUUGAAGCUGUGAAGUACGAGAGUGAUAGUAGCAGUAAAGGUGACAGUGAUGAUGAGGGGAAUGAUGUAGCACACCCCCACUCUUUCACUUCUCAGCAAUGGCCUCAGAGUUACAAAGAGACUACAGAUUCAUAUACGAUUGCCGCAGCUCCAAAUUUUGAAUCAAUCAUUCGAGGACCGAGUUUUAUAUAUUCUAGUUUUGGGAAUCGUUCGAAGAGUAGCUUAGACAUAGAUGGAAAGACUCCUUUUCUAUCUGCUCCAGAAGGCAUUAGUCAAUCAACUUGGUGGGAGAAAGCCUCAGUGCAAAGACAUUUUACUGGAGAGUUGCCCAUUGGAUAUGGAUGCAGCUUCACUCAAACAAUUUUUAAUGGGAUUAAUGUGAUGGCUGGAGUUGGCCUUCUAUCUACCCCGUAUACAGUGAAUCAAGCUGGGUGGAUGAGCAUGGCAGUAAUGCUUCUUUUUGCUGUUAUUUGUUGCUAUACAGCUACCCUUCUGAGAUACUGCUUUGAAAGCAGAGAAGGAAUCAUUACCUACCCAGAUAUAGGAGAAGCUGCAUUUGGAAGAUAUGGCCGUAUUGUUGUAUCAAUCAUUCUGUACACUGAAUUAUAUUCAUAUUGCGUUGAAUUCAUCACGUUGGAAGGAGAUAACCUCACUAGCCUGUUUCCUGGAACAUCCUUAGAUCUGGGUAGUUUGCAGUUAGACUCUGUGCACUUGUUUGGGGUUUUGACUGCACUUAUUAUUCUCCCUACAGUUUGGUUGAAGGAUCUUCGUUUAAUCUCUUAUCUAUCAGCUGGAGGAGUUGUUGCAACACUUUUGAUUGUUAUCUGUGUGUUUUCUGUUGGUACAAUAGAUGGUGUUGGAUUCCAUCACACUGGUCAAUUGAUAAAAUGGAAUGGUAUUCCAUUUGCUAUUGGUGUCUAUGGAUUUUGCUUUGCAGGUCAUUCAGUUUUUCCAAAUAUUUACCAGUCUAUGGCUGACAAAAAACAAUUUACCAAAGCAGUAAUAACAUGUUUUGUUUUGUGUGUUUUGAUAUAUGGAGGCGUUGCAGUCAUGGGAUUUCUCAUGUUUGGUGAUGGCACAUUGUCUCAGAUAACAUUGAAUAUGCCACCAGGUUCAUUUGCUUCCAAAGUUGCAUUGUGGACAACAGUCAUUAACCCAUUCACUAAAUAUCCUUUUUUCCAAAACUAUGUUUAUGAAAGUAUAGAAUAUGGUCAUGGUUUGACCAAAUUCAGGAGUCCUUUUGUUUGCCUUUUCCUUAAUAAUGAACAAAUAUGCUUUGUUGAUGAACCCACUGGCAAGGAGUCUAGAGGAGUUGCUGCCGGAUAGAAUUUCAAGUACUUAUUGGUGUUUCAUUCUUCUUAGAACAGCACUUGUUGCAUCUACAGUUUGUGUUGCCUUUUUGGUUCCCUUUUUUGGGCUUGUUAUGGCAUUAAUUGGUUCACUCUUUAGUAUACUUGUGUCAGCGAUAAUGCCAAGUUUAUGUUUUUUGAAAAUUAUUGGAAAAAAUGCUACAAAGACACAGGUUGCACUUAGCGUCACAAUUGCUACAUUGGGAAUCAUUUGUGGACUCGUUGGAACAUAUUCCUCUCUCUUGAGUAUUGCGGAUAGUUACUGAGACCUUUAGUCUUUUACUGGAUGGUGGUGUUGAGUGUUAACCCCGCGACAAAUGGUUCUGUUUGGCGUUAAUGUGGCGACUAGUUUACUUUUGGUUAUUAUAUGUGUGAAUUUAUGCAUAUGUAUGAAUUUAAUAAAGCAAUUAUUAAAAAAGAUGAUAUUUUAUGAGGAACGAAGAUAUUUAGUGG